ACCGCCCCAACUACCUCAUCCAAUAGGACGUCGGCCACAGCAUCACGAAGUUGCUGGCAUCGCCCAGUUCGGCGUGGGCGAAGGCGCACCGGACGCAAGCGAAGGUGGAGCUUCUUCAAUGUACGCCUCGCUGGUGUGGUGCGAGACUUCCAGAUCACCCGGUGGCUGGGGUUGGACGACGAUGUUGCCAUAGCUCCGCAUCGGACGCGAUAGUGUCAUGAAGCAGCUGCCUCCUUUGUCGUGACGAGAAAGCCCAUACCCCCUGAAUCAGCAUGCUAAUCUCUUCUUCUUAUUAACCCUGAAUCUAUCGUACACAUACAAUACAUGCUAUAUCUUGUGAUUUUUGUACGACCUAUUAUGAUGCAUACCUCAAGGAGUGCAUCUCCUCCGUUCAGCUGAAAAUUGAUAUUUAUUUGGUUUAUACAUUCCAUUUUUUGCAUUCGAUUUUGCCUGCCGCUCCUCCUUGGUAUGGUCGUCCAUCUUGGCUGCUGCUUGGCUGCUUCUCCUCUCCAACUCAGCUAAAGGGACUUUUCUUGUAUCUGUCUGUGCAGGCUCUACUUGCUUUCUGCUUCUCGAUAUCCUGCUUUGUUGCAAGUCUGUUUUGCUCCUCGAGGUCUGCUUUCUUUCUGUCUAGCUAAAAUGCAUAUUUCCAUUACUGUACGUGUUGCCAUGUUGUUUAAUUGGGAAUUACUCCAUCCGUUCGGAAUUAACUGACACUAAUGGUCAUCUCAGCUAAUUCAAAAAUGAGUACCUCCCCGCGCUAGUUACUUCCAAACAGAGGGAGUGUAUUUUUCUAUAGUUAAAGCGCAUGUGUUUGGGUCUGAUGUGUAUAAGUGAAAGGAAAUAGAGCAGAUGGGGGAAGUGAGUUAUUGCUAUUAUUUUUUCCUUUUGUUUCUGUUUGAUAAUUACUCCCUACCCUAAUGCUUGAGUGUUUUUAAUCUCCCCUGUUUUAUUCCUUUGGUGCUACUUGGGCGUUUUUAAGGUCUGUUUUUGUUUGCUUUGAGAAUAAGAAAGAGUUGGUUAGUAUUAGAUUUGAAAGUUAGACAUAGAACUAUGAGUUAGUGUAUUGGUUUGACAGAUCAUAUUUUCAUAUUCACCUCUUCUUUGGAAAUAAAGAAGAAUUAGUUAGUUUUAGGUUUCAAUGUCAGGCAAAAAUCAAAUGGGCGAAGCGAUCUAUCAGUCCAGAUUCUAAUUGUUAUUUGGUGUUGAGAUUCACAUGUUUGAGACAUAAUUUUAACUCGGUGCCUUCACAUUUAAUUUAUUACCUCUCUGACAUGUGUUUUGCUACAAAAUUAUGUCUCCCCAAUUUGUAUUUACAUACUACUGUAAGCUUCUGAAAUGUAAAUUAUGCUAGAACAAUUCCUCUUUAGCUUUAACUAUGAUAUUCCUAAAUGCGCAAGUAAAUACUACUGGGAUUACGACUACAAAAAAAAUCAUGACAUGCGAGAAAGUAUUUGUUUAAAUAUUGUGAGCUUAAAUAAUAGGAGCUAAACUGUUGUGUUGUGUUCAAAAAUGGUACCAGAAAAAAUAAUCUAAACUGCACAUUCUGAAAGUAUAUUGGACUCUUGCCCUCAGGAAAUUUGUCUUCUAAGCAUCAAUUUGUAAAUAAAUGACAUGAUAACUUGGUAGUUUAGUUGAAAAUUGUAGGGAGAGGCUUACGGUAGGGGAAAAAUCACUGCCAGUUGAAAACCAAAACUUAUAUUUGUGAGUAUGAUCUGGACUGCGCUUUUCUAAAAGUAUGUUAAGCUCCUGCUCUUGGGUGAUUAAGUUGUUGUGGUUUUGCUUGGUAAAUAAAUGACAUGCUAAUAUGUCAGCUAUUUUGUGUCAGGUGUACUUUGAUUUUAUAUAUGGUGUAGGGUAGUUGAUUCUUUAGAACUGUUUGGAGCAACCAAAUUCAAUUGAGUACACGAUACUUUAUUGUUGUGUCCAUACAUAUAUCUAUAUACGCUCGAACCAUCAAGUGAGUACGCAACUAAUGAACGAUACCCCAAGAGCUCAGGUGCAUUUCAAAAUGUUCUAUUCCUCCCACAAUCAGCGGUUGGAGUAUCCUGCUCUCCCUUCUAGAGGUUCUACAGUUUAAUCAUUAUUUUACGAAUCAGGUGCUUGCAUUCUAUUGUAUGAAGAAGUGUAAACAGUUAGUAAGUUAUCUGUUUGUUACCAGGUUCAUUGACUUAUGAAGGAACUCUUACUAACGAAAGUGUACAUGCAAUGACUUAUGUAGUUCUCAUAUAUUUUUUACCAAGACAAUUGACUUAAAUUGGUUCAUUUUUUUGUUGUAUAGUAAUCGAUCAUAUAUUCGUAUAGUUUUGAAGGAGCUUACAUUUCAAGUUGUCUACAAGUAUGCAUUCUUGAGACAAGGGUGGAGGAAAUAUCACUUGGGGAUUGGGAUUAGUAGGGUGUAUUUUUAACUGACAAUGGAAAGGCGCCCACUGAUUUUUUCAUAUUAUCAGCCAUCAGACAUAAGAGUUAUGUAGUUGGACACUCUCCUCUACAUAGACAGGACUGAGAUUACAUAUCACCCUCGGGCACUCCUACACACUCCAUGGGAGGUAGAGUGUCAAAGAGAAACAGAUCAGUAAGUGAGUUCCAAGUUACAACACUAUAAUUUUUUUUCUACAAAAGGUACCAGGGAGGGAUUAACCCUAUGGACAAGCAGAGAGGUAAAACUGUAUAUGAGAACUACAGCUAAACAGCAUGAACGUGGUCAUGCUCGGUUGGAUGCAAUGCAGAUAUCUAGAGAUGCACUUAAUUUUCUAUAGAAUAAUAUUUUCAUCUUCAUAGAGAGUUGUAUGGAAAUAACAUGAUUGGACCAAAAAUGAACAACCAUGGGAAACCUCGGUUGUAAAAUAACGACCAAUUUUUUUAUAGGCUUAAACUAUUGAUACUAACAUGCAUAAAAAACACCGGCAUUUCCUCUACUUGCAUGCUUUGCUUACAUCACGUGGCACUUGGCGUCCCACAACAAAUGCUUUGUCAAUCAACAACUAACAUGAGUUGAGUCAUGCCCACCACACAACAUCACUUAUUCGGUCACUCUGCUUGACUAGCACAAACACAUCUCACAUGCCAUAUAAGUACGUGCGUAUUCAUAGGCAUAGGCCCUCCGUUAAACACAUAUUCCAUCCUCUUUACUCCAGAAUAAUUUUCUUCUCCAUUGAUCUGUCCACAUGGCAUGCUUCUCUCGCAAAUGUAAGUACAAGAUUGUAUCUCUUCCUUUUCAUGUCAAGAAUAUAUAAUGCCAUCUUGCCUAUUGUUUUCUUGAAAGAUCCAGCCUGAGGCUGGCAUAUAUUGAUUUGAAACAGGAAGGAGCGCGUGGGAAAAAAACGUGACAAAGGUGGUGGUGGGGGGUGGUGAUCAUAGUGAUUAAGGAGAAAAAGAAAAACAAAGGAAAAAAAAGAAAAACAAACACCCCCAGCAUAAUGAGGGUGGUUAUAGGGGUAGAUAUCUCAUGGAGGAUCCCAGAACGGGGGCUCUAAAACUGUGGCUCCGGCUUGCCUCCAAAGUUGUACGGUGCUGUUGAUAGCAUGUUUCAAACUUUGGAAAUCUGCAGACUUGUCCCUGAA